UGGGGAAUUUUGGACAAUGGGGGCAACCCUGAUCCAGCAAUGCCGCGUGUGUGAAGAAGGCCUUCGGGUUGUAAAGCACUUUUGUCCGGAAAGAAAUCGCCCUGGCUAAUAUCCGGGGUGGAUGACGGUACUGGAAGAAUAAGCACCGGCUAACUACGUGCCAGCAGCCGCGGUAAUACGUAGGGUGCAAGCGUUAAUCGGAAUUACUGGGCGUAAAGCGUGCGCAGGCGGUUGUGCAAGACAGAUGUGAAAAUCCCCGGGGCUUAACCUGGGAAUGGCAUUUGUGACUGCACGGCUAGAGUGUGUCAGAGGGGGGUAGAAUUCCACGUGUAGCAGUGAAAUGCGUAGAUAUGUGGAGGAACACCGAUGGCGAAGGCAGCCCCCUGGGAUAACACUGACGCUCAUGCACGAAAGCGUGGGGAGCAAACAGGAUUAGAUACCCUGGUAGUCCACGCCCUAAACGAUGUCAACUAGUUGUCGGGUCUUAAUUGACUUGGU
rnacentral:rRNA from 1 species